GGUUGUAUAGUGUAGUGGUCAUCACAUCGGAUUUUGAUUUAAUCAAAAUUCCGGGAACCCCAGUUCGAUCCCGGGUACGACCU